rnacentral:rRNA from 1 species
GACGAACGCUGGCGGCGUGCUUAACACAUGCAAGUCGAACGGAAAGGCCCUGCUUUUGUGGGGUGCUCGAGUGGCGAACGGGUGAGUAACACGUGAGUAACCUGCCCUUGACUUUGGGAUAACUUCAGGAAACUGGGGCUAAUACCGGAUAGGAGCUCCUGCUGCAUGGUGGGGGUUGGAAAGUUUCGGCGGUUGGGGAUGGACUCGCGGCUUAUCAGCUUGUUGGUGGGGUAGUGGCUUACCAGGGCUUUGACGGGUAGCCGGCCUGAGAGGGUGACCGGCCACAUUGGGACUGAGAUACGGCCCAGACUCGUACGGGGGGCAGCAGUGGGGAAUAUUGCACAAUGGGCGGAAGCCUGAUGCAGCAACGCCGCGUGCGGGAUGACGGCCUUCGGGUUGUAAACCGCUUUCGCCUGUGACGAAGCGUGAGUGACGGUAAUGGGUAAAGAAGCACCGGCUAACUACGUG